rnacentral:rRNA from 1 species
UACGAAGGGUGCAAGCGUUACUCGGAAUUACUGGGCGUAAAGCGUGCGUAGGUGGUUUGUUAAGUCUGAUGUGAAAGCCCCGGGCUUAACCCGGGAAUUGCAUUUGAUACUGUUGGGCUUGAGACCGGGAGAGGAUAGCGGAAUUCCCAGUGUAGAGGUGAAAUUCGUAGAUAUUGGGAAGAACACCAGUGGCGAAGGCGGCUAUCUGGACCGGUACUGACGCUGAGGCGCGAAAGCCAGGGGAGCAAACGGG